UACGUAGGGGGCAAGCGUUGUCCGGAUUUAUUGGGCGUAAAGAGCGUGUAGGCGGCCUGAAAGGUCAGCUGUGAAAACUCGAGGCUCAACCUCGAGACGUCGGUUGAAACCAUCUGGCUAGAGUCCGGAAGAAGAGUGUGGAAUUCCCGGUGUAGCGGUGAAAUGCGCAGAUAUCGGGAAGAACACCCGUGGCGAAGGCGGCUCUCUGGAACGCAACUGACGCUGAGACGCGAAAGCGUGGGGAGCAAACAGG
rnacentral:rRNA from 1 species